rnacentral:rRNA from 1 species
AUGGCGCCGAUUCACAGUAACAGCUCUCGCCGCCUCGACAGCACGGUGCUUGCGCUUCUGCUCGUGCUCGUGGCCGCCACUGCCUUUGUCGGCGCUGCCGCAGCGCGAGGGGACGCGCUGGCCGCCCGGCACGAGCGGUGGAUGGCCAAGUACGGGCGCGCGUACACGGACGCUGCCGAGAAAUUGCACCGGCAGGAGGUGUUCGCGGCCAACGCGCGCCACGUAGACGCUGUCAACCGGGCGGGCAACCGGACGUACACCCUCGGGCUCAACCAGUUCUCCGACCUCACCAACGAAGAGUUCGUGGAGAAGCACCUCGGGUACCGUCACCAGCCGGGCGGGCUCCGUCCCGAGGACACGCCGGUGGCCGCGGUGAACAUGUCCAAGGCUCAGUUCCAGUCCACGCCGGACAGCUUGGACUGGAGGGCCCAGGGCGCCGUCACCCAAGUCAAGAACCAAGCCCCAUGUGGGAGUUGCUGGGCGUUCGCGGCGGUGGCGGCGACCGAGGGGCUCGUACAGAUCGCCACCGGCAACCUCAUCUCCAUGUCAGAGCAGCAGGUGCUCGACUGCACGGGCGACACUAGCACCUGCAAGGGUGGCUCCGUCAUCGCCGCCCUACGUUACGUCGCCGCAAGCGGCGGCCUGCAGCCGGAGGCAGCCUACGCAUAUACCGGCCAGCAGGGCGCGUGCCGCAGCGUCAUGCCAAAUUCGGCCGCCUCCGUUGGCGCCCCCCGCUGGGUGGGCCUGAACGGCGAUGAGGACGCGUUGCGGGAGCUGGCUGCCAGCCAACUGGUGGCCGUGGGCGUGGAGGCGGACCCUGACUUUCAGCACUACAAGAGCGGCGUGUUCGUCGGUAGUUCGUCGUGCGGGCAAAACCUGAACCACGCCGUGACGGUGGUGGGGUACGGGGCGGACGGCGGCGGGCAGGAGUACUGGUUGGUGAAGAACCAGUGGGGGACGGGGUGGGGUGAGGGGGGCUAUAUGCGCCUCACGCGCGGGAACGGCGGAAACUGCGGCAUGGCCACCGUUGCCUACUAUCCGACCGUGGACAGCUCUUAA